rnacentral:rRNA from 2 species
UUGUGAGGUUAAGCGACUAAGCGUACACGGUGGAUGCCCUGGCAGUCAGAGGCGAUGAAGGGCGUACUAAUCUGCGAUAAGCGCCGGUAAGGUGAUAUGAACCGUUAUAACCGGCGAUACCCGAAUGGGGAAACCCAGUGUGAUUCGUCACACUAUCAUUAACUGAAUCCAUAGGUUAAUGAGGCGAACCGGGGGAACUGAAACAUCUAAGUACCCCGAGGAAAAGAAAUCAACCGAGAUUCCCCCAGUAGCGGCGAGCGAACGGGGAGGAGCCCAGAGCCUGAAUCAGCAUGUGUGUUAGUGGAAGCGUCUGGAAAGGCGCGCGAUACAGGGUGACAGCCCCGUACACAAAAGCGCAUGUGCUGUGAGCUCGAUGAGUAGGGCGGGACACGUGGUAUCCUGUCUGAAUAUGGGGGGACCAUCCUCCAAGGCUAAAUACUCCUGACUGACCGAUAGUGAACCAGUACCGUGAGGGAAAGGCGAAAAGAACCCCGGCGAGGGGAGUGAAAAAGAACCUGAAACCGUGUACGUACAAGCAGUGGGAGCACCCUUUGGGUGUGACUGCGUACCUUUUGUAUAAUGGGUCAGCGACUUAUAUUCUGUAGCAAGGUUAACCGAAUAGGGGAGCCGGAGGGAAACCGAGUCUUAACCGGGCGUUAAGUUGCAGGGUAUAGACCCGAAACCCGGUGAUCUAGCCAUGGGCAGGUUGAAGGUUGGGUAACACUAACUGGAGGACCGAACCGACUAAUGUUGAAAAAUUAGCGGAUGACCUGUGGCUGGGGGUGAAAGGCCAAUCAAACCGGGAGAUAGCUGGUUCUCCCCGAAAGCUAUUUAGGUAGCGCCUCGUGAAUUCAUCUCCGGGGGUAGAGCACUGUUUCGGCUAGGGGGCCAUCCCGGCUUACCAACCCGAUGCAAACUGCGAAUACCGGAGAAUGUUAUCACGGGAGACACACGGCGGGUGCUAACGUCCGUCGUGAAGAGGGAAACAACCCAGACCGCCAGCUAAGGUCCCAAAGUCAUGGUUAAGUGGGAAACGAUGUGGGAAGGCCCAGACAGCCAGGAUGUUGGCUUAGAAGCAGCCAUCAUUUAAAGAAAGCGUAAUAGCUCACUGGUCGAGUCGGCCUGCGCGGAAGAUGUAACGGGGCUAAACCAUGCACCGAAGCUGCGGCAGCGACACUGUGUGUUGUUGGGUAGGGGAGCGUUCUGUAAGCCUGUGAAGGUGUGUCGUGAGGCAUGCUGGAGGUAUCAGAAGUGCGAAUGCUGACAUAAGUAACGAUAAAGCGGGUGAAAAGCCCGCUCGCCGGAAGACCAAGGGUUCCUGUCCAACGUUAAUCGGGGCAGGGUGAGUCGACCCCUAAGGCGAGGCCGAAAGGCGUAGUCGAUGGGAAACGGGUUAAUAUUCCCGUACUUGGUGUUACUGCGAAGGGGGGACGGAGAAGGCUAUGUUGGCCGGGCGACGGUUGUCCCGGUUUAAGCGUGUAGGUGUGUGUUCCAGGUAAAUCCGGUUCACUUUAACACUGAGGCGUGACGACGAGGCACUACGGUGCUGAAGCAACAAAUGCCCUGCUUCCAGGAAAAGCCUCUAAGCAUCAGGUAACAUCAAAUCGUACCCCAAACCGACACAGGUGGUCAGGUAGAGAAUACCAAGGCGCUUGAGAGAACUCGGGUGAAGGAACUAGGCAAAAUGGUGCCGUAACUUCGGGAGAAGGCACGCUGACACGUAGGUGAAGUGAUUUACUCAUGGAGCUGAAGUCAGUCGAAGAUACCAGCUGGCUGCAACUGUUUAUUAAAAACACAGCACUGUGCAAACACGAAAGUGGACGUAUACGGUGUGACGCCUGCCCGGUGCCGGAAGGUUAAUUGAUGGGGUCAGCGCAAGCGAAGCUCCUGAUCGAAGCCCCGGUAAACGGCGGCCGUAACUAUAACGGUCCUAAGGUAGCGAAAUUCCUUGUCGGGUAAGUUCCGACCUGCACGAAUGGCGUAAUGAUGGCCAGGCUGUCUCCACCCGAGACUCAGUGAAAUUGAACUCGCUGUGAAGAUGCAGUGUACCCGCGGCAAGACGGAAAGACCCCGUGAACCUUUACUAUAGCUUGACACUGAACAUUGAGCCUUGAUGUGUAGGAUAGGUGGGAGGCUUUGAAGUGUGGACGCCAGUCUGCAUGGAGCCGACCUUGAAAUACCACCCUUUAAUGUUUGAUGUUCUAACGUGGACCCGUUACCCGGGUUGCGGACAGUGUCUGGUGGGUAGUUUGACUGGGGCGGUCUCCUCCUAAAGAGUAACGGAGGAGCACGAAGGUUGGCUAAUCCUGGUCGGACAUCAGGAGGUUAGUGCAAUGGCAUAAGCCAGCUUGACUGCGAGCGUGACGGCGCGAGCAGGUGCGAAAGCAGGUCAUAGUGAUCCGGUGGUUCUGAAUGGAAGGGCCAUCGCUCAACGGAUAAAAGGUACUCCGGGGAUAACAGGCUGAUACCGCCCAAGAGUUCAUAUCGACGGCGGUGUUUGGCACCUCGAUGUCGGCUCAUCACAUCCUGGGGCUGAAGUAGGUCCCAAGGGUAUGGCUGUUCGCCAUUUAAAGUGGUACGCGAGCUGGGUUUAGAACGUCGUGAGACAGUUCGGUCCCUAUCUGCCGUGGGCGCUGGAGAACUGAGGGGGGCUGCUCCUAGUACGAGAGGACCGGAGUGGACGCAUCACUGGUGUUCGGGUUGUCAUGCCAAUGGCACUGCCCGGUAGCUAAAUGCGGAAGAGAUAAGUGCUGAAAGCAUCUAAGCACGAAACUUGCCCCGA